rnacentral:tRNA from 1 species
CAAAGAAUAGUUUAGCUUAGAACGCUGGCUUUGGGAGCCAGGGGUGGGAGUUAAAAUCUCCCUUCUUUGA